rfam:Picea glauca, whole genome shotgun sequence.
CGGUGUGAUCAUACGAACAUUAAUGCACCAGAUCCCAUCAGAACUCCGCAGUUAAGCGCGCUUGGGCUAGAGUAGUACUGGGAUGGGUGACCUCCCGGGAAGUCCUAGUGUUGCACCCU